rnacentral:rRNA from 1 species
CGACGACGGGUAGCCGGCCUGAGAGGGUGAUCGGCCACACUGGGACUGAGACACGGCCCAGACUCCUACGGGAGGCAGCAGUGGGGAAUCUUGCGCAAUGGGCGAAAGCCUGACGCAGCGACGCCGCGUGGGGGAGGACGGCCUUCGGGUUGUAAACCUCUUUCAGCCCCGACAAAAGUGAUGGUAGGGGCAGAAGAAGCGCCGGCUAACUACGUGCCAGCAGCCGCGGUAAUACGUAGGGCGCGAGCGUUGUCCGGAGUUACUGGGCGUAAAGGGCUCGUAGGCGGUUUGUCGCGUCGACCGUGAAAUCCUGCGGCUCAACCGCGGACGUGCGGCCGAUACGGGCAAACUUGAGGGCGGUAGAGGCAAGCGGAAUUCCCGGUGUAGCGGUGAAAUGCGCAGAUAUCGGGAGGAAUACCGACGGCGAAGGCAGCUUGCUGGGCCGUGCCUGACGCUGAGGAGCGAAAGCGUGGGGAGCGAACAGGAUUAGAUACCCUGGUAGUCCACGCCGUAAACUUUGGGCGCUAGGUGUGGGGACCAACUUGGUUUCCGUGCCACAGCUAACGCGUUAAGCGCCCCGCCUGGGGAGUACGGCCGCAAGGCUAAAACUCAAAGGAAUUGACGGGGGCCCGAACAAGCGGCGGAGCAUGUGGAUUAAUUCGAUGCAACGCGAAGAACCUUACCUGGGUUUGACAUCCAUCGGAUUGCCGUGGAGACACGGUUUCCCUUUGGGCCGGUGGACAGGUGGUGCAUGGCUGUCGUCAGCUCGUGUCGUGAGAUGUUGGGUUAAGUCCCGCAACGAGCGCAACCCUUGUCCCGUGUUACCAGCAACGUGGUUGGGGACUCACGGGAGACUGCCGAGGUAACUCGGAGGAAGGUGGGGACGACGUCAAGUCAUCAUGCCCCUGAUGCCCAGGGCUUCACACAUGCUACAAUGGCCGGUACAAAGGGUGGCGAUCCCGCAAGGGUGGGCGAAUCUCGGAAAGCCGGUCGUAGUUCGGAUCGGGGUCUGCAACUCGACCCCGUGAAGGCGGAGUCGCUAGUAAUCGCAGAUCAGCAACGUUGCGGUGAAUACGUUCCCGGGCCUUGUACACACUGCCCGUCACGUCAUGAAAGUCGGUAACACCCGAAGCCCAUGGCCCAACCGGAGU